UACGGAGGAUCCAAGCGUUGUCCGGAUUUAUUGGGUUUAAAGGGUGCGUAGGCGGAUCUUUAAGUCAGUGGUGAAAGCCUGCAGCUUAACUGUAGAACAGCCAUUGAAACUGAAGAUCUUGAAUUUGGUUAAAGUAGGCGGAAUGUAUCAUGUAGCGGUGAAAUGCUUAGAUAUGAUACAGAACACCGAUAGCGAAGGCAGCUUGCUGAACCAAUAUUGACGCUGAGGCACGAAAGCGUGGGGAGCGAACAGG
rnacentral:misc_RNA from 1 species